GACGAAUGCUGGCUGCGUGCUUACACAUGCAAGUCGAACGGUGAAGGAGGGCUUGCCCUCCGGAUCAGUGGCGAACGGGUGAGUAACACGUGGGCAACCUGCCCCUCACUCUGGGAUAACGCCGGGAAACCGGCGCUAAUACCGGAUACGACCAGGCGCGACAUCUCGCCUGGUGGAAAGAAUUUCGGUGAGGGAUGGGCCCGCGGCCUAUCAGCUUGUUGGUGGGGUAACGGCCCACCAGGGCGACGACGGGUAGCCGGCCUGAGAGGGCGACCGGCCACACUGGGACUGGGACACGGCCCAGACUCCUACGGGAGGCAGCAGUGGGGAAUAUUGCGCAAUGGGCGAAAGCCUGACGCAGCGACGCAGCGUGAGGGACGAAGGCCUUCGGGUUGUAAACCUCUUUCAGCGGGGACGAAGCGAAAGUGACGGUACCCGCAGAAGAAGCACCGGCUAACUACGUGCCAGCAGCCGCGGUAAAAC
rnacentral:rRNA from 1 species